UAGUGAUGAUGAGGACAACUAAUGAGUAGAGAUUUGAACCUAUCCCGAGCUUGGUAUAAAUUUUCACCCCGACUUCUGCUUAAAGCUUAGUAUUUCAUCUCUUAACUU